CCAUGGAAACUUGAGCCCAGUCAGACCGCCACCAGAUACCGAUGGUCAACGCUAUCGAAGGUCUUAGACUGGUCCAAAUUCACCAGUACCCCACCCUUGCCAGGAACUUUACUAACCCGCUCUAUGGUAUAGCAGAU